rnacentral:rRNA from 1 species
CCCUUAGAUGUCCUGGGCCGCACGCGCGUUACACUGAUGCAUUCAACGAGCUUAUAACCUUGGCCGAGAGGCCUGGGCAAUCUUGUUGACGCGCAUCGUGAUAGGGAUAGAUUAUUGAAAUUAUUAAUCUUGAACGAGGAAUUCCUAGUAAACGCAGAUCAUCAAUCUGCAUUGAUUACGUCCCUGCCCUUUGUACACACCGCCCGUCGCACCUACCGAUUGGAUGGUCCGGUGAAGCCUCGGGAUUGUGGUUCUUGCCGCUUUAUUGUGGCGUGACCGCGAGAACUUGUCUAAACCUUAUCAUCUAGAGGAAGGUGAAGUCGUAACA